GACGAACGCUGGCGGCGUGCCUAAUACAUGCAAGUAGAACGCACAGUUUAUACUGUAGCUUGCUACACCAUAAACUGUGAGUUGCGAACGGGUGAGUAACGCGUAGGUAACCUGCCUGGUAGCGGGGGAUAACUAUUGGAAGCGAUAGCUAAUACCGCAUAAUAUUGAUUAUUGCAUGAUAAUUGAUGGAAAGAUGCUAUUGCAUCACUACCAGAUGGACCUGCGUUGUAUUAGCUAGUAGGUGAGGUAACGGCUCACCUAGGCGACGAUACAUAGCCGACCUGAGAUGGUGAUCGGCCACACUUGGACUGAGACACGGCCCAGACUCCUACGGGAGGCAGCAGUAGGGAAUCUUCGGCAAUGGACGAAAGUCUGACCGAACAACGCCGCGUGAGUGAAGAAGGUUUUCGGAUCGUAAAGCUCUGUUGUAAGAGAAGAACGGGUGUGAGAGUGGAAAGUUCACACUGUGACGGUAUCUUACCAGAAAGGGACGGCUAACUACGUG
rnacentral:rRNA from 1 species